AUUGAACGCUGGCGGCAGGCCUAACACAUGCAAGUCGAGCGGCAGCGGAAAGUAGCUUGCUACUUUGCCGGCGAGCGGCGGACGGGUGAGUAAUGUCUGGGAAACUGCCUGAUGGAGGGGGAUAACUACUGGAAACGGUAGCUAAUACCGCAUGACCUCGAAAGAGCAAAGUGGGGGAUCUUCGGACCUCACGCCAUCGGAUGUGCCCAGAUGGGAUUAGCUAGUAGGUGAGGUAAUGGCUCACCUAGGCGACGAUCCCUAGCUGGUCUGAGAGGAUGACCGGCCACACUGGGACUGAGACACGGCCCAAACUCCUACGGGAGGCAGCAGUGGGGAAUAUUGGACAAUGGGCGAAAGCCUGAUCCAGCCACGCCGCGUGAGUGAUGAAGGCCUUCGGGUCGUAAAGCUCUGUGGGGAGGGACGAAUAUCCGGUUGAAGAACCGGGGGUGACGGUACCUCCCUGAGCCAAGCACCGGCCUAACUUCGGUGCCCAGCAGCCCGCGGGUAAUACCGAAGGGGUGCAAAACGUUUGCUCGGAAAUCAUUGGGGCGUUAAAGCGCACGUAGGCGGC
rnacentral:rRNA from 1 species